CAGCCGCGGUAAUUCCAGCUCCAAGAGCGUAUAUUAAAGUUGUUGCAGUUAAAAAGCUCGUAGUUGAAUUUCGGGGUCAGUAGGUUGGUCGUGCCACCGGUACGUACUGGUCUCACUGAUUCCUCCUUCCUGAAGAACCGUAAUGCCAUUAAUUUGGUGGUUAGCGGGGAAACUAGGACUGUUAACUUUGAAAAAAUUAGAGUGUUUAAAGCAAGCUAACGCUUGAAUACAUUAGCAUGGGAAUAAUGAAAUAGGACGAUCGAUCCUAUUUUUGUUGGUUUCUAGGAUUGACGUAAUGAUUAAUAGGGAUAGUUGGGGGCAUUAGUAUUCAAUUGUCAGAGGUGAAAAUUCUUGGAUUUAUUGAAGACUAACUACUGCGAAAGCAUUUUGCCAAGGAUGUUUCAUUAAUCAAGAACGAAAGUUAGGGAUCGAAGACGAUCAGAUACCGUCGUAGUCUUAACCAUAAACUAUGCCGACUAGGGAUCGGAUGAUGUUAAUUUUAUAAUGACUCAUUCGGCGCCUUACGGGAAAC
rnacentral:rRNA from 1 species